AUUAGGUUAAGACUAAUCAAUAACCAACAAGUUAUUUACGCCCCCAUUAACCUUCGCAAUUAAAAGUUAAAGUGAAAUGCAUAUCAUAUAAUCACGAUUAAGUGAGAAAAAUAUGUAUAAUAGACACAUAUUCUAUAUUCAUGAUUUAAUAAAAAAUCGAGUACGAGCAACUUUUUAUCGUAUUGAAAGUAUUUCCCGUGAUUUAACGGUUGUCAGGUACAAAGUUUUAGUUUUUUGACAAAUCUCCAAAAUUAGCUGAUUAAAUCGUAGGGAAGCAAAGCAAAGUAAAUACAGUACUUUAAUCAUUUCUUUGAACGAGUGAAAAAUCAUUUUUCGAUCAUUUACUACAGAUCAAACGGUCUAAAUUAAGCAAGAGAUAAUCACCGUUGAUUCUCCUCUUCCCCCCAAAAAAAAAAUGUGCUACGGCAGUCAAUAGACGACUUUACCGACCCGACCCGAACCCGAACUUCACCAGCAGCUCGGGUCGAAAACCUCCGUGACCGGUUAGUCGAGAUGGAGGCGCGGCUUGAGCGAGCUAGGGCUAAAGAAGCCGAGCUGAGCCGACAAUGAGAGGAAAUGAAGAGGUUUGUUUGCGUUAUGGAGAUUUUAGAAAGUUAUCUCAAACGCCGUUACAGAGAACAACAAGUUAGAAUAGUAAAAGUAAAUUAUGUAUAGGGUAAAAGGUGAAUUCGAAGUAAAAGAAGGGUAGAUUUGUUGUCUUUCUUAUUUUGAUAAAGGAUUUAUAUGGUUGAUGUAUUAUUAGGGUUUUCAUGUUUGGAAUUGCUUAAUGUAAUCAUGUGUGUUGUAAUUGUAUAUUCUUCAGUGUGUUAUAGAAUAGUAGUAAAUCAAUUAAACUUGGAAUUUUAUUCAAUUUUACUGUUCGGUACGUUUAGCGCAGAAGUGGAGCCUUGGAGCAACGAUAAAGUUGUCACUACGUGUGACCUAUAGGUCACGGGUUGCAUGGAAGCAGCCACUAAUGCCUGCAUCAAGGUAGGCUAUAUACAUCACACCCCUUUAGCUUGAUGGAAAUCAGUGUUUUGGACGGCGGGCAGCGACAAAAGGCGACAAGGGCCUGCCUGCGCGCUCGCCCCUUUUUGAAGUACAGCGCCCAUAAAUACCAAAAAAUUAAAAUAUUUAAUUGCAUAUAUAAAUAAUCAAAAUCUCACUAGCAAUAACGUAUUAGCAAAUAUUUCAAUUCAAAAAUUAAAAGUAAAUAAUAGAUACUAAAAGUCUAGAACUUGAAUGACUCAAUAAUUCAUAAAGAAAAAAAAAACGAGCAAAACAACAUCGGGUGCAGAAGAGAAAAAACAACAGAGGAGAAAAUAGAAAAAAGAAAAAAACAGAGGAGAAAGUCGCAAGUUGCGUACAGAAAAAGAAGAAAAAAUAGAAGGAGGAAAAAAAUAGGCAAAAGAAGAAAAAAGUCGCCGGAAACAAAGGAGAAAAGAAGAAGAAGAAGGAGAAA